rnacentral:rRNA from 1 species
CCUACGGGAGGCUGCAGUAGGGAAUAUUGCUCAAUGGGGGAAACCCUGAAGCAGCAACGCCGCGUGGAGGAUGAAGGUUUUCGGAUUGUAAACUCCUUUUGUUAGAGAAGAUAAUGACGGUAUCUAACGAAUAAGCACCGGCUAACUCCGUGCCAGCAGCCGCGGUAAUACGGAGGGUGCAAGCGUUCCUCGGAAUCACUGGGCGUAAAGAGCGCGUAGGCGGGAUAGCAAGUCAGAUGUGAAAUCCUAUGGCUUAACCAUAGAACUGCAUUUGAAACUGUUAUUCUAGAGUAUGGGAGAGGUAGGUGGAAUUCUUGGUGUAGCGGUAAAAUGCGUAGAGAUCAAGAGGAAGACUAAUGGCGAAGGCGACCUGCUAGAACAUAACUGACGCUGAUGCGCGAAAGCGUGGGGAGCAAACAGGAUUAGAUACCCGGGUAGUC